GUGACUAUUCUCCUAUUAAUUUAGCCAUGUUCGUUUGUACAUCUGAAAGAUGCAUCCAGAUAGUCCAUCUAGAUGUCUUAUCCAGAUGCUUCAUCUGGGUGUUGUUCGUUUCUUCAUUUCGUCCAUGCAUCCAGAUGAAUCAUCUGAAUGCAACUAUGUUCGUUUGCUUUUUAUUUUUUAACUGCCAUCUGCAUCCAGGUGGACUUGUUAAUAAAAUGACUAAAAUAUAAUUUUU